rnacentral:rRNA from 1 species
UACGAAGGGGGCUAGCGUUGCUCGGAAUCACUGGGCGUAAAGGGUGCGUAGGCGGGUCUUUAAGUCAGGGGUGAAAUCCUGGAGCUCAACUCCAGAACUGCCUUCGAUACUGGCGACCUUGAGUCCGGGAGAGGUGAGUGGAACUCCGAGUGUAGAGGUGAAAUUCGUAGAUAUUCGGAAGAACACCAAAGGCGAAGGCAGCGUCCUGGGAAGCAUCUGACGCUCAGGUGCGAAAGCUAGGGGAGCGAACGGG